rnacentral:rRNA from 1 species
AAAUUGAAGAGUUUGAUCAUGGCUCAGAUUGAACGCUGGCGGCAGGCCUAACACAUGCAAGUCGGACGGUAGCACAGAGGAGCUUGCUCCUUGGGUGACGAGUGGCGGACGGGUGAGUAAUGUCUGGGGAUCUGCCCGAUAGAGGGGGAUAACCACUGGAAACGGUGGCUAAUACCGCAUAACGUCGCAAGACCAAAGAGGGGGACCUUCGGGCCUCUCACUAUCGGAUGAACCCAGAUGGGAUUAGCUAGUAGGCGGGGUAAUGGCCCACCUAGGCGACGAUCCCUAGCUGGUCUGAGAGGAUGACCAGCCACACUGGAACUGAGACACGGUCCAGACUCCUACGGGAGGCAGCAGUGGGGAAUAUUGCACAAUGGGCGCAAGCCUGAUGCAGCCAUGCCGCGUGUAUGAAGAAGGCCUUCGGGUUGUAAAGUACUUUCAGCGGGGAGGAAGGCGAUGCGGUUAAUAACCGCGUCGAUUGACGUUACCCGCAGAAGAAGCACCGGCUAACUCCGUGCCAGCAGCCGCGGUAAUACGGAGGGUGCAAGCGU